rnacentral:lncRNA from 1 species
CUUAUUUCUACAUAUUUUAUUUUAUUGUGGAUAGGCUUUUCAGGCUUUGUUUAGCAUAAAAAAGAGAAUUGGCCCACCAUUCAAAGUAACCAGAAUUUAUUUGUAAAGUGGUCAGCUUAAUUAGUUAGUGUUUUGGCAAAACAAGAAUGAUUACAGUCAUGAUCAGCAUUAAUAUCACUUAAUAGUUACUACCCAUUUCCUUUGAAAGAGGAAUCCUAACAUAAAAGGAAUAGUUAAAUCCAAAACUAAAUUCAAUAAAACUACCUUUUGUGAAAUUGG